rnacentral:rRNA from 1 species
GAUGAACGCUAGCUACAGGCUUAACACAUGCAUGUCGAGGGGUAACGAGAGGAAAGCUUACUUUCCUUGUCGACGACCGGCGCACGGGUGAGUAACGCGUAUCCAACCUGCCCCCAACUAAGGAAUAACCUUGCGAAAGUAAGACUAAUACCUUAUAAUUUCCUCAGAUGUCAUCUGACGAGGAAUAAAGAUUUAUCGGGUGUGGAUGGGGAUGCGUCUGAUUAGCUUGUUGGCGGGGUAACGGCCAACCGAGGCAACGAUCAGUAGGGGUUCUGAGAGGAAGGUCCACCACAUUGGAACUGAGACACGGUCCAAACUCCUACGGGAGGCAGCAGUGAGGAAUAUUGGUCAAUGGGCGGAAGCCUGAACCAGCCAAGUAGCGUGCAGGAUGACGGCCCUAUGGGUUGUAAACUGCUUUUAUACAGGAAUAAAGUUAGCCACGUGUGGUUAUUUGUAGGUACUGUAUGAAUAAGGACCGGCUAAUUCCGUGCCAGCCGCCGCAGUAA